UGAAGACCGUGCUUGCACGGUUGGAUUAGUGGCGAACGGGUGAGUAUCACGUGAGUAACCUUCCCUUAACUCUGGGAUAAGCCCGGGAAACUGGGUCUAAUACCGGAUACGACCAGUCCUCGCAUGGGGUGCUGGUGGAAAGAUUUAUCGGUUUUGGAUGGACUCGCGGCCUAUCAGCUUGUUGGUGAGGUAAAGGCUCACCAAGGCGAUGACGGGUAGCCGGCCUGAGAGGGUGACCGGCCACACUGGGACUGAGACACGGCCCAGACUCCUACGGGAGGCAGCAGUGGGGAAUAUUGCACAAUGGGCGAAAGCCUGAUGCAGCGACGCCGCGUGCGGGAUGACGGCCUUCGGGUUGUAAACCGCUUUCAGCAGGGAAGAAGCGCAAGUGACGGUACCUGCAGAAGAAGCGCCGGCUAACUACGUGCCAGCAGCCGCGGUAAUACGUAGGGCGCGAGCGUUAUCCGGAAUUAUUGGGCGUAAAGAGCUCGUAGGCGGUUUGUCACGUCUGCUGUGAAAGCCCGGGGCUCAACCCCGGGUGUGCAGUGGGUACGGGCAGACUAGAGUGCAGUAGGGGAGACUGGAAUUCCUGGUGUAGCGGUGAAAUGCGCAGAUAUCAGGAGGAACACCGAUGGCGAAGGCAGGUCUCUGGGCUGUUACUGACGCUGAGGAGCGAAAGCAUGGGGAGCGAACAGGAUUAGAUACCCUGGUAGUCCAUGCCGUAAACGUUGGGCACUAGGUGUGGGGAACAUUCCACGUUUUCCGCGCCGUAGCUAACGCAUUAAGUGCCCCGCCUGGGGAGUACGGCCGCAAGGCUAAAACUCAAAGGAAUUGACGGGGGCCCGCACAAGCGGCGGAGCAUGCGGAUUAAUUCGAUGCAACGCGAAGAACCUUACCAAGGCUUGACAUGGACCGGACCGCUGCAGAGAUGCAGUUUCCCUUCGGGGUCGGUUCACAGGUGGUGCAUGGUUGUCGUCAGCUCGUGUCGUGAGAUGUUGGGUUAAGUCCCGCAACGAGCGCAACCCCUAUCCUAUGUUGCCAGCACGUUAUGGUGGGGACUCAUGGGAGACUGCCGGGGUCAACUCGGAGGAAGGUGGGGACGACGUCAAAUCAUCAUGCCCCUUAUGUCUUGGGCUUCACGCAUGCUACAAUGGCCGGUACAAUGGGUUGCGAUACUGUGAGGUGGAGCUAAUCCCUAAAAGCCGGUCUCAGUUCGGAUCGAAGUCUGCAACUCGACUUCGUGAAGUUGGAGUCGCUAGUAAUCGCAGAUCAGCAACGCUGCGGUGAAUACGUUCCCGGGCCUUGUACACACCGCCCGUCAAGUCACGAAAGUGGGUAACACCCGAAGCCGGUGGCCUAACCCUUGUGGGGGGAGCCGUCGA
rnacentral:rRNA from 1 species